GGUCGACUGGCCCAAUGGGUAAGCGGCACUCUCUCAGUGCAACGAAUUGAACUAACAGUUGUACAGCAAGGCGUUUGACUACGAUUACGUGAUCAAAAGAUUGCAGGUUCGAUCCCUGCGUCGAUCA